rnacentral:rRNA from 1 species
UCAUCUUCGGGGGUAGAGCACUGUUUCGGCUAGGGGGCCAUCCCGGCUUACCAACCCGAUGCAAACUACGAAUACCGAAGAAUGUUAUCACGGGAGACACACGGCGGGUGCUAACGUCCGUCGUGAAGAGGGAAACAACCCAGACCGCCAGCUAAGGUCCCAAAGUCAUGGUUAAGUGGGAAACGAUGUGGGAAGGCACAGACAGCCAGGAUGUUGGCUUAGAAGCAGCCAUCAUUUAAAGAAAGCGUAAUAGCUCACUGGUCGAGUCGGCCUGCGCGGAAGAUGUAACGGGGCUAAACCAUGCACCGAAGCUGCGGCAGCGACACUAUGUGUUGUUGGGUAGGGGAGCGUUCUGUAAGCCGUUGAAGGUGUGCUGUGAGGCAUGCUGGAGGUAUCAGAAGUGCGAAUGCUGACAUAAGUAACGAUAAAGCGGGUGAAAAGCCCGCUCGCCGGAAGACCAAGGGUUCCUGUCCAACGUUAAUCGGGGCAGGGUGAGUCGACCCCUAAGGCGAGGCCGAAAGGCGUAGUCGAUGGGAAACAGGUUAAUAUUCCUGUACUUGGUGUUACUGCGAAGGGGGGACGGAGAAGGCUAUGUCAGCCGGGCGACGGUUGUCCCGGUUUAAGCAUGUAGGCGGAGGUUCCAGGUAAAUCCGGUACCUUAUUAACGCUGAGGUGUGAUGACGAGGCACUACGGUGCUGAAGUGAUAAAUGCCCUGCUUCCAGGAAAAGCCUCUAAGCAUCAGGUAACACGAAAUCGUACCCCAAACCGACACAGGUGGUCAGGUAGAGAAUACCAAGGCGCUUGAGAGAACUCGGGUGAAGGAACUAGGCAAAAUGGUGCCGUAACUUCGGGAGAAGGCACGCUGAUAUGUAGGUGAAGCCCCUGCGGGCGGAGCUGAAAUCAGUCGAAGAUACCAGCUGGCUGCAACUGUUUAUUAAAAACACAGCACUGUGCAAACACGAAAGUGGACGUAUACGGUGUGACGCCUGCCCGGUGCCGGAAGGUUAAUUGAUGGGGUUAGCGGCAACGCGAAGCUCUUGAUCGAAGCCCCGGUAAACGGCGGCCGUAACUAUAACGGUCCUAAGGUAGCGAAAUUCCUUGUCGGGUAAGUUCCGACCUGCACGAAUGGCGUAAUGAUGGCCAGGCUGUCUCCACCCGAGACUCAGUGAAAUUGAACUCGCUGUGAAGAUGCAGUGUACCCGCGGCAAGACGGAAAGACCCCGUGAACCUUUACUAUAGCUUGACACUGAACACUGGUCCUUGAUGUGUAGGAUAGGUGGGAGGCUUUGAAGCGUGGACGCCAGUCUGCGUGGAGCCAUCCUUGAAAUACCACCCUUUAAUGGCUGGUGUUCUAACGUAGACCCGUGAUCCGGGUUGCGGACAGUGUCUGGUGGGUAGUUUGACUGGGGCGGUCUCCUCCCAAAGAGUAACGGAGGAGCACGAAGGUUGGCUAAUCCUGGUCGGACAUCAGGAGGUUAGUGCAAUGGCAUAAGCCAGCUUGACUGCGAGCGUGACGGCGCGAGCAGGUGCGAAAGCAGGUCAUAGUGAUCCGGUGGUUCUGAAUGGAAGGGCCAUCGCUCAACGGAUAAAAGGUACUCCGGGGAUAACAGGCUGAUACCGCCCAAGAGUUCAUAUCGACGGCGGUGUUUGGCACCUCGAUGUCGGCUCAUCACAUCCUGGGGCUGAAGUAGGUCCCAAGGGUAUGGCUGUUCGCCAUUUAAAGUGGUACGCGAGCUGGGUUUAGAACGUCGUGAGACAGUUCGGUCCCUAUCUGCCGUGGGCGCUGGAGAAUUGAGGGGGGCUGCUCCUAGUACGAGAGGACCGGAGUGGACGCAUCACUGGUGUUCGGGUUGUCAUGCCAAUGGCACUGCCCGGUAGCUAAAUGCGGAAGAGAUAAGUGCUGAAAGCAUCUAAGCACGAAACUUGCCCCGAGAUGAGUUCUCCCUGAGACUUUAAGUCUCCUGAAGGAACGUUGAAGACGACGACGUUGAUAGGUCGGGUGUGUAAGCGCAGCGAUGCGUUGAGCUAACCGAUACUAAUGAACCGUGAGGCUUAACCUU